CCUUGGGGUGACAGGAGAAGGCGUGGUGGGACGGAGGCUGUGACCCCGGGGCGCACAGGGCGCAGGCCCGGAGCCCAUGCGAGUUACUGACCCACCUCGUGGCUCUCCCUUGUCUGUGAAGUAAGAGCGAUGCCAGCCACCUCAAAGGCCUCUAGCGGGCCAAGAAGGACCCACUUACCGUACAGCAUAGAGCUAAGUACUCAAUAGUCUGUAAUAACCUAUAAGGGAAAAGAACCUGAAAACACAGGAUGUGGGAGGACUCGAGUGGGGAAGUCACUGGACUCUGAGACAUGAAGCACGCUGCUGCAUGAAGCCACCCUCAGACACCUCACUGCCAGCUGCCAGAAAACGGCUGUGAGAGAAGUCAACGUGUCUAGAAUGUGGACCAGAAAUGUAAGAGCCACACCAACAAUGGCAGCUCAGUAACACCGUAAUAACGGUUUGGGGACAGACAGCUACUGGACUUAACCGUAGUGAAUAUUCUAUAAUGUUGUUUAAAUGUUGAUUGGUUAUGUGGGGCACCUGAGGCUAACAUAAUAUUGUGUUAUCAACUAUAUGUCAAUUAAAAAAAAAUCAACACUGUUGAAGACUGCA